GGCAAUGUACAAUAAAUAAAAUGAAAAUGACUGCUCUGCACUGGCAUAAAACUUAGGUAUCUAUGGACCCCUUGUAAAAACAUCAUGGCAGCUGUAUAUAUAGGAUGUACAUGGCAGCAUUUCACAUCAAUGAAAACGACCUAAAUACCCUAGAAGUGACCAAAACUGGAGAACCCACCAGGGCAAUCAGCUACCCCUAAGCCUAAACCAAGAGGCCAAGCCAGUGAACAAGAAACCAACACAUGAGUUUGUGGAAUUCCUACUCAGGGCCAUUCUCGAGAGAAGAAACAUAUUUCCUUCCUACAGCCUUGCAAGACACAACAUCCU